rnacentral:rRNA from 1 species
UGGAAUGGUUCCUGACUAAAAUCUAUAUGGCCUCUGGAUUGGACUGCGGCCGAUCAGGCUGUUGGUGAGGUAAUGGCCCACCAAACCUGUAACCGGUACGGGCUCUGAGAGGAGGAGCCCGGAGAUGGGCACUGAGACAAGGGCCCAGGCCCUAUGGGGCGCAGCAGGCGCGAAACCUCUGCAAUAGGCGAAAGCCUGACAGGGUUACUCUGAGUGACUUUCGCUAAGAAAGUCUUUUGGCACCUCUAAAAAGGGUGCAGAAUAAGGGGUGGGCAAGUCUGGUGUCAGCCGCCGCGGUAAUACCAGCACCCCGAGUGGUCGGGACGAUUAUUGGGCCUAAAGCAUCCGUAGCCGGUUCUGCAAGUCCCCCGUUAAAUCCAGCUGCUCAACAGAUGGGCCGCGGAGGAUACUACAGAGCUAGGAGGCAGGAGAGGCAAGCGGUACUCAAUGGGUAGGGGUAAAAUCCGUUGAUCCAUUGAAGACCACCAGUGGCGAAGGCGGCUUGCCAGAAUGCGCUCGACGGUGAGGGAUGAAAGCUGGGGGAGCAAACCGGAUUAGAUACCCGGGUAGUCCCAGCCGUAAACGAUGCAGACUCGGUGAUGGGUUGGCUUCGCGCUAACCCAGUGCCGCAGGAAGCCGUUAAGUCUGCCGCCUGGGUAGUACGGUCGCAAGACUGAAACUUAAAGGAAUUGGCGGGGAGCACCAAAGGGGUGAAGCCUGCGGUUCAAUUGGAGUCACGCGG